ACUCCGGUCCCGUGCAAUGAGGCACUGCGAACCCCGCCAGGUCCGGAAGGAAGCAACGGUAAGCAGAGCGUUUCAUGUGCCGCGGUCAACCGGAGUUCC
rnacentral:SRP_RNA from 1 species